rnacentral:rRNA from 1 species
CCUACGGGAGGCAGCAGUGAGGAAUAUUGGUCAAUGGACGCAAGUCUGAACCAGCCAUGCCGCGUGCAGGAAGACGGCUCUAUGAGUUGUAAACUGCUUUUGUACGAGGGUAAACGCAGAUACGCGUAUCUGUCUGAAAGUAUCUUACGAAUAAGGAUCGGCUAACUCCGUGCCAGCAGCCGCGGUAAUCCGGAGGAUUCAAGCGUUAUCCGGAUUUAUUGGGUUUAAAGGGUGCGUAGGCGGUCGGAUAAGUUAGAGGUGAAAUCCCGGGGCUCAACUUCGGAAUUGCCUCUGAUACUGUACGGCUAGAGAGUAGUAGCGGUAGGCGGAAUGUAAGGUGUAGCGGUGAAAUGCUUAGAGAUCAUACAGAACACCGAUUGCGAAGGCAGCUUACCAAGCUACGUCUGACGUUGAGGCACGAAAGCGUGGGGAGCAAACAGGAUUAGAUACCCCAGUAGUC